rnacentral:tRNA from 1 species
UAGUUUUUGGUGUUAAGCACAAUAAAUUUUGAUUUUAUAGGUAAUAAUUAAUUUUAUUAAAACUAA